CUUGCUAUAAAUAUGUACCUCCCCCACAAUUUUAUUUCUUUUUCUUUCUUUCUUUCUUUCUUUCUUUUUUUUAAAUAUGCUCUGACUGAUAAGUGGUAUCACUUCUGGAUAAAGCUUGUAAUGUAAUUAUUAUUUUUCCCCCUUGUGUUAACAUAAUGUUCAUUAUAUGAGGUCCAUGUUCAGGUGAAGUGUUUUUUUCUAUCAGAAUCAUAGAAUCAUAGAAUCACUCAGGUUGGAAAAGACCUUCAGGAUCAAGUCCAACCACAACCUAACCAUACUACCCUAACUGACAAUCCUCUGCUAAAUCACAUCCCUGAGCACCACAUCCAAACAGUUUUUAAACACAUCCAGGGAUAUUGACUCAACCACCUCCCUGGGGAGCCUAUUCCAGUGCUUAACAACCCUUUCUGUAAAGAAGUGUUCCCUAAUAUCCAACCUAAACUUACUCUGGCACAACUCGAGGCCAUUUCCCCUCGUCCUGUCACCUGUCAGCAGUAAGAAGAGACGAAUUCCUACUACAGGUUUUAACAAACUGCAGAGCUACUAUGCAGGCACAAUAUAUAUAUAUAUAUUUCCCUAGGAGGGACAAAAGUUUUAAAUUUACCACCAAACAGAAAAGCCCACAGGAACCAGGCGUAUAUAACUUACUGGUUUCUAAGAAUUGCACUUUGUAGGCAAUUUGCUGAGAGGCCUUUGAGAAUUUUGUUAUUUAUAAGUGUUACAGUUAAUUUAUAUUUUAUGUAGACAUAAAAAAGUCUCAUUCCCAAUUGCAAUAAGAAGAAAAAAAUAUAUAAACAACCCAUCCACCCUCUUUCCUCUGUGCAACUUAGAUUAAAAGUGUGCUGUGUUUUCCUUAAUUUCUGAUAUAAAUCUAUUGAACAAUGUUUGUUUUGAACAGUCAGAGUAUUCUGAUCCUACUGAAAUUAUGAAGUUCAUAGUAGUUUAUUUCUCAGUGAGGGAGGUUUUGUUUCAUUGACUGCAUGUCCAUGAGUCUUCUUGUUUUCUCCUUUACAUUUUUACCUAUCCAUUAGGAAAGGGGAGUGACUGUGAAACUGCAAGUGUUUUGUUGCUGGCCAGGGUCAACCUACUUCAGCUAGAGGUCAUAUACUGUGGAAACAAAGUGGUAUCUUAAAUAAAUUAAAUCUAAAAUCUAUAAAUUAAAUGUAUUAUGCCUUGAUGUACGUGUAAACUAUGCAACAUUCUUCCCUCUUAACACAAGUAUUUGCAAAUGUCUUUUGAUGAGCACAUAGAAAAUACACUUUUGAAGCAGUUCAGGUAAUAUUGAAUUAAAUGUUUGUUUUCCCUC
ensembl:lncRNA